GCGGGAGUGGUGAAAUUGGCAGACACGCAGGAUUUAGGUUCCUGUGCCUUCGGGCGUGAGGGUUCAAGUCCCUCCUUCCGCACGA
rnacentral:tRNA from 1 species